rnacentral:rRNA from 1 species
CCUACGGGUGGCUGCAGUGAGGAAUAUUGGUCAAUGGGCGCGAGCCUGAACCAGCCAAGUAGCGUGCGGGAUGACGGUCCUAUGGAUUGUAAACCUCUUUUAUCGGGGAGCAACAGACCCUACGCGUGGCGUUCCGAGAGUACCCGAAGAAAAAGCAUCGGCUAACUCCGUGCCAGCAGCCGCGGUAAUACGGAAGGCCCGAGCGUUAUCCGGAUUUAUUGGGCUUAAAGGGAGCGUAGGCGGGCGUUCAAGUCAGCUGGAAAAUCGCGCGGCUCAACCGCGCCCCGCAGGUGAAACUGGACGCCUUGAGUUCACAACAGGCAGGCGGAAUUCGUGGUGUAGCGGUGAAAUGCAUAGAUAUCACGAGGAACCCCGAUUGCGAAGGCAGCCUGCCGGGGCGCGACUGACGCUGAGGCUCGAAGGUGCGGGUAUCAAACAGGAUUAGAUACCCCUGUAGUC